rnacentral:lncRNA from 1 species
ACAGCAGAAUAGAGAAGCAGGCCGCCGCGCUGCCCGCAGCACCGAUCCAUCCAUCCAUCCAUCCAUCCAUCAGGUACCAACCCCAACGCCUCCCCUUCUCCCUCCCUCCACUCCACCCCACUCUCCCUCUCUCUUUCUCUUCCUACACUCGAACGGAACGGUGCUGAUAUCAUCCGCGCCGCCGCACGUUGCAGAGGGGAAAAAGAAGGCAAGGAAAAGGCGCUUUCCGAGCAGAAAAAAAGGAUCUGGCCGCUUUACGCUUCUCCUCCGCGGGAUUUUGAUUCCCCCCACACCAUCAUCCACCAAUCAUCGUCGUCGCCAGGUACGUGCGUGCCGCCCUUCCUCGUCUCGAGGUUCCGUCGGUCGUCUUCUCCUUCGCCGGCGGGCCUCGUCGAGAUUUGCUUUCGGUUUUUUUACUCUGGCCAGCGAGACGCGGCGUGCAUGUCGCCAGCGGGCGACGCGGCUAUAACCGAGUCGGCGCUGAUCCGUUGUUUCAGGCGGGCGGCGCGCUAGCUAGGACCACAGAAGUCAACGCCGGCGGCGGGCCGCGCUCAGAUCCGAAGGCGGGGCAGGCGAACAGCGGCGGUGAUCG